rnacentral:lncRNA from 1 species
GAAAUUUUGCGUGAAUGUGAAGGGCAGAAUGGGAAUUAAAAUUGGAAUUAUUGAGAUUUUCUAGAUAAUAUAUGCAUCAUGUCAUGUUUGUAAGAGUUGUACUUGCUCCACAGAGUUGGAAUGUUGAAGCAAAACCAAGAAGGUGACCUCUCUCCCACUCUUUUCCUUCAUCUUCAACUUAACUGCUUUAUUAUUCUCAUAAAAGAAUUGAUAUUUUUUUUUUCUUUUCAAAGUACUAUCAAUUAAGGAUUGUUGCCAGAUAGAUGUAUGAAUUGUCUAUUGACAAUUCUCAAUCAUGUAUUAAUUAUUGACUGGUUUUUCUUAUAUGAAAAGAAAUAGCUUAAUUAGCAGCAUCCAAAGCCAAAUUAGAAAUGAAAAAAAAAAGAAUCAUUGUUGUUGCUUAAGCCUAAAUGAUUAUCACGAUGUUUGCAUACAAGUCAACUAUGUUAUUGAUUAUAUUGAGUGAAUUCCAAAUAUUUAUUGUUAGAAUAAGUGUUCAACAAAUAUUUGAUAUUUUACACCCAAAAAAUUAGAGGAAUUAGGUUACAACUAUUAUGUAAUUUGAUAGUAUAAAAGAUUUUUUUGAAUGUAAUGACAUAAUUGUAAAUUGUUAUGUAUGAUAAAUUUAUUAGAGAUUAAUGUUUAUGCAGUUUAAACUAAUUUUAUAUUAUGGUCUAAUUAUAAAUUAUUAUUUAAAUUAUUUUAAAAAUUAAUAAAUUUAUUAUAUAUAAUGAGUUAUUAUUAAAUAACUGUAUAAAAAAUUUUACCCUAUCAUUUUAUAACCUUUUUUUUCAAUUUAUUAUUGACUUUAAUAAUAAUCGUGUCAGAAGUGAUGUCAACUAUGAUUUUCUUAUUUUUAAUUAAUUGAUUAUGUAAUGUUUUUUUUACACUGAUGAUGAAUAAAAAAUAAAUUAUAAAUCAAAAAAUUUCUUAUAUCAGAAGAAAUAAAAAUACCCGGCACUAUAGCAUCGCAUCAACCUUAAAAACAUUAUCAUUGAGUUUGAGUCAUAUGUUAAUGAAACAUGUUAGAAAUUAUACAUUUUUUUUCAAGAAAAAGGUAGUUGAUUGACUUUUUAUUAGAUAAGUGUUUUUCAACUAUUUUAAAUUUUAUUACAUAAUUUUUUUAUAGAGAUUUCUUAUUCGUGUUUCGUCAUCAUUAAAGACUGAAAAAAAGGAAAAAAAAAAUUGGGUUAUAUAAUUUUUUUGGGUUAUAUAAUUUUUUUGAUGGAUUUAUUUAAGUUUCGGAGUUGCAGUUGAAACGUAAGAAGCAUAUGGUGGCGGGACUAACGGCUUUUGGACGCGAAAAGACUAGGGACAAGGGAAAAGGUAAAGUGACCGUCCGGUUCCGUGUGAGGGGGUGAAAGUCCUAGUAGAAAGUGGACACGUGGCGAAAGUGGAGUGCAAUGAUUGGUUGGGAAUGUGGGAGUCCACGUGUACCACAUAUCCAGCUGUAAGUGAUGGACCCCUCAUACCAAGCCUCAGACGUGGGCCGGGCCUGGGCCCACUACCCAAAAGUUACUUAUUCCCUGAGGAAUAUGACUUUUUGUAUUUCAUAGAAUUUGAACACAGCAAUAUUAUCAUCGACUUUUUUACA